AUUGAACGCUGGCGGCAUGCUUUACACAUGCAAGUCGAACGGUAACAGGCCUUCGGGUGCUGACGAGUGGCGAACGGGUGAGUAAUAUAUCGGAACGUACCUUUCAGUGGGGGAUAACGUAGCGAAAGUUGCGCUAAUACCGCAUAUUCUGUGAGCAGGAAAGCAGGGGAUCGCAAGACCUUGCGCUGAUUGAGCGGCCGAUAUCAGAUUAGCUAGUUGGUGAGGUAAAGGCUCACCAAGGCGACGAUCUGUAGCGGGUCUGAGAGGAUGAUCCGCCACACUGGAACUGAGACACGGUCCAGACUCCUACGGGAGGCAGCAGUGAGGAAUAUUGGUCAAUGGAGGCAACUCUGAACCAGCCAUGCCGCGUGUAGGACGAAUGCCCUCUGGGUUGUAAACUACUUUUAUUGGGGAAGAAACCCUCUUACGUGUAAGAGGCUGACGGUACCCAAGGAAUAAGGACCGGCUAACUCCGUGCCAGCAGCCG
rnacentral:rRNA from 1 species